GACGAACGCUGGCGGCGUGCUUAACACAUGCAAGUCGAACGGAAAGGCCCUGCUUUUGUGGGGUGCUCGAGUGGCGAACGGGUGAGUAACACGUGAGUAACCUGCCCUUGACUUUGGGAUAACUUCAGGAAACUGGGGCUAAUACCGGAUAGGAGCUCCUGCUGCAUGGUGGGGGUUGGAAAGUUUCGGCGGUUGGGGAUGGACUCGCGGGUUAUCAGCUUGUUGGUGGGGUAGUGGCUUACCAAGGCUUUGACGGGUAGCCGGCCUGAGAGGGUGACCGGCCACGUUGGGACUGAGAUACGGCCCAGACUCCUACGGGAGGCAGCAGUGGGGAAUAUUGCACAAUGGGCGGAAGCCUGAUGCAGCAACGCCGCGUGCGGGAUGACGGCCCUCGGGUUGUAAACCGCUUUCGCCUGUGACGAAGCGUGAGUGACGGUAAUGGGUAAAGAAGCACCGGCUAACUACGUG
rnacentral:rRNA from 1 species